GACGAACGCUGGCGGCGUGCUUAACACAUGCAAGUCGAACGGAAAGGCCCUGCUUUUGUGGGGUGCUCGAGUGGCGAACGGGUGAGUAACACGUGAGUAACCUGCCCUUGCCUUUGGGAUAACUUCAGGAAACUGGGGCUAAUACCGGAUAGGAGCUCCUGCUGCAUGGUGGGGGUGGGAAAGUUUCGGCGGUUGGGGCUGGACUCGCGGCUUAUCAGCUUGUGGGUGGGGUUGUGGCUUACCAAGGCUUUGACGGGUAGCCGGCCUGAGAGGGUGACCGGCCACAUUGGGACUGAGAUACGGCCCAGACUCCUACGGGAGGCAGCAGUGGGGAAUAUUGCACAAUGGGCGGAAGCCUGAUGCAGCAACGCCGCGUGCGGGAUGACGGCCUUCGGGUUGUAAACCGCUUUCGCCUGUGACGAAGCGUGAGUGACGGUAAUGGGUAAAGAAGCACCGGCUAACUACGUG
rnacentral:rRNA from 1 species